rnacentral:lncRNA from 1 species
CGGCCAUCCUGCUUGGCCAGCUGAAGGUUUGAGACUCAGGAUGGGGUCAUGGCUGAGACUAUGAGGGCUGCUCGUGCAUGACCCUGCCUGCUGGCCUCCAUGGGCCCACUAUCUGAAUGUGGUUACCCUUCUCCCCAGGACCAGGUGCCACCUCCUCUGGGAAGCUUUCCCUGCCCGUCCACAGGGUAUGCCUCCUUGUUCCUCUCCUGCCAUCGGUUUACGUGCCUGUCUCCAUCAACAGACCAGGAGCUCCUGAGGACAGGGACUGAGUCUGCCUGAUUCAUCUCUGCAUUCCUAGCACUUACCUUGGUGCUUAGUGAAAGCUCGAACCUGCCUGGGUUCCCACCUUGUCUCUGCUACCCCCAGCUCUGUGAACUCAGAGCCAACUACUAAGCCUGUAGCAGCCUCCCAAACUGCCCAGUCUUGUUCAGAUGCACCUCCAGAAACACAGGGGUCCAAAAUGCCCCUUCCCAGACACCCUGAGGAGUAGAACAGUGCCAGCAGGCUCCAGGGAUGAGGGACUAGCUACCACAUUCCCUUUCCCAAGCCUCAGUUUCCCCACCUGUAAGAUGAGGGAUAUGGGCUCUGACUUUCUGAGUUUGGAAAAUAAAGUGCUCCCCAAACUGGG